rnacentral:rRNA from 1 species
GACGAACGCUGGCGGCGUGCUUAACACAUGCAAGUCGAACGAUGAACCCGGAGCUUGCUCCGGUGGAUUAGUGGCGAACGGGUGAGUAACACGUGAGUAACCUGCCCUUGACUCUGGGAUAACUGCGGGAAACUGUAGCUAGUACCGGAUACGACCCUCGGCGGCAUCGCCAGGGGGUGGAAAGAAUUUCGGUCAAGGAUGGACUCGCGGCCUAUCAGCUAGUUGGUGAGGUAACGGCUCACCAAGGCGACGACGGGUAGCCGGCCUGAGAGGGUGACCGGCCACACUGGGACUGAGACACGGCCCAGACUCCUGCGGGAGGCAGCAGUGGGGAAUAUUGCACAAUGGGCGCAAGCCUGAUGCAGCAACGCCGCGUGAGGGAUGAAGGCCUUCGGGUUGUAAACCUCUUUCAGCACCGACGAAGCGCACGUGACGGUAGGUGCAGGAGAAGGACCGGCCAACUACGUGCCAGCCGCCGCGGUAA